rnacentral:rRNA from 1 species
UAGUCCACGCCGUAAACGAUGAUUACUGGUUGUGCGCGAUACACAGUGCGUGACUGAGGGAAACCAUUAAGUAAUCCACCUGGGGAGUACGUUGGCAACAAUGAAACUCAAAGGAAUUGACGGGGGCCCGCACAAGCGGAGGAACAUGUGGUUUAAUUCGAUGAUACGCGAGGAACCUUACCUGGGCUUAAAUGUACAGUGCAUGACUUGGAAACAGGUCUUUUCUUCGGAACUCUAUACAAGGUGCUGCAUGGUUGUCGUCAGCUCGUGCCGUGAGGUGUCGGGUUAAGUCCCAUAACGAGCGCAACCCCUAUCGUUAGUUGCUAGCAGGUAAUGCUGAGGACUCUAGCGAAACUGCCGGUGUAAACCGAGAGGAAGGUGGGGAUGACGUCAAAUCAGCACGGCCCUUAUGUCCAGGGCUACACACGUGUUACAAUGGUCGAUACAAUGGGAGGCAACUCUGUAAAGAUAAGCGAAUCUAUAAACUCGUUCUAAGUUCGGAUUGUAGGCUGCAA